rnacentral:rRNA from 1 species
GGACUACCGGGGUAUCUAAUCCUGUUUGCUCCCCUAGCUUUCGCACCUCAGCGUCUGUAUCAGCCCAGAAAACCGUCUUCACCACCGGUGUUCUUCCACAUAUCUACGCAUUUCACCGCUACACGUGGAAUUCCGUUUUCCCUAACUGAACUCUAGAACAUCAGUUUCAAGUGCUGCUUCGGGGUUGAGCCCCGAAAUUUCACACCUGACUUAAUAUCCCGCCUACGCGCCCUUUACGCCCAGUAAUUCCGAUCAAUGCUUGCACCCUCCGUAUUACCGCGGCUGCUGGCAC